UGGGAUACGACAAUCCAAUCAGGCAUGAAAUCAUGCUAAAACAGAGUAAACACAGCCAAUUACAGAGCAUUUUGCUGGAUGCUGAUUAGCGCGUGUUCCCCGCAGGCUAUAGUGAGGUAAACAGAAGCAGUGACCAACGGCGUGUUGACGUUCUCCCUUCACUUCACUUGCCCAACUGGAUGAAGGAUGACAAGUCAGCGUGCGUAAUCUGUUGAAGAUGAUGAUGCCAUAUUACUGCAGAGUGCCUCUGUGGUUGCUUACUUGGCCCUCAAUGCCGGAAGUCCCCCACCAGUCGCAUGUGACAUUGGUUCCUGACACCCUCGUGUUUACAGCGAGCACAGACGCACACAGCCCCCUCCAGAAGCAUUUGUCCUCAGUAAAAGAGGAGGUGUUUGUCCUUCCAAGCCUCUUGGGAAAUUGUCCACCGCUCUCGUUAAGCGGCUCCAGAC